UACAGAGGCCCCAAGCGUUACUGAGAAUCACUGGGUUUAAAGGGUGCGUAGGCGGCCCUGUAAGUCAGUGGUGAAAUACUGCAGCUUAACUGUAGCAUUGCCAUUGAUACUGCAGGGCUUGAGUACAGAUGAGGUAGGCGGAAUUGAUGGUGUAGCGGUGAAAUGCAUAGAUACCAUCAAGAACACCGAUUGCGAAGGCAGCUUACUAAGCUGUAACUGACGCUGAGGCACGAAAGCGUGGGGAUCGAACAGG
rnacentral:rRNA from 1 species